UACGUAGGGGGCAAGCGUUGUCCGGAUUUAUUGGGCGUAAAGAGCGUGUAGGCGGUUAGGUAGGUCCGUUGUGAAAACUCGAGGCUCAACCUCGAGACGCCGAUGGAAACCAUCUAACUAGAGUCCGGAAGAGGAGAAUGGAAUUCCUGGUGUAGCGGUGAAAUGCGCAGAUAUCAGGAAGAACACCCGUGGCGAAGGCGGCUUUCUGGGACGUGACUGACGCUGAGACGCGAAAGCGUGGGUAGCAAACAGG
rnacentral:rRNA from 1 species